GAAGAGGUGAAGGCUUCAAUGGAGAAUGGGGUGCUCACUGUUACGGUGCCUAAAGCGGAGGUGAAGAAGCCUGACGUUAAGGCCAUCGAGAUUUCUGGCUGAAAGUUUCAAAUCCAAGAUUGUCGUCUUGGUCAUCUCUUCUGCAACAGGUGUUUGUUGAUGCUUUUGUCUGCUAGAUGUUUGACAAUAUGCCACCUUUGUGUUAUUGUUUUUAAGAUGUUGGAUAAAAUACAAGAUUGUUAGUGUCUCUCCUGUGGGUUUUUGGAUUUUGUAAUGAUAAUACAGAAUUGAUGUUCUAAUAAUAAGAAAGUAAUACAAAUAAUAAAAUUAUUUUCUGCUUCAUUAUUAUUAUUAUUAUUUUUCUGCUUUGAGAGUUAAUAAUCAUUUCUCGAUUGUUCUCUCUAAGAGAAGUGAUUGUUUGCCAUUCAUUUUGUCAAGGUAGAGUCGGAGUAAAGCCUGCGGAGGGUAGACCUGCUGUCGUGUCUACGGAGACCCGGUAUUGACAUGUUUGUUUUGGUUUGCUCUGCUAUUCUAUUUAACCAAAAGCAUCAAGUACUCUUACAAGCUAGUUCUGCCUGAUAUAUGUAGAUGGCUGAGGAGAGAACAGAAUCAUACAAAUUGAAUUUGUAGAUGACCCAGAAAAGCUUAAAACAUGCUGAUUGAAUUAUAUAGAUGAUACUAAAGAAUUCAACAUCAGGAUAAUACCUUGGUGGCAUCAUCUGGGCCAACUCUUCUUGAAGGCUAAAAGCUCCUGAUUAAAGACACUAGAGUUAGGUUAGUCAUUGAGGAUAUGAAGUAUGUUCAGGCUAACUGGUGGGACAAGGAAAUUGUAAUGAAUAUGAGCAGAAAUAAUGGAUCAGAUUGUUCAAAUUUAUUUUCUACCCCUUCAACACAUGAUAACUGCUUGUUCUGGAGUCAAUCUCCUUGGACACCUUCAAUUCAAUCAUAUACCAAUCCCUACUACCAAGGAUUUGGCUUCUUGGUAUUUUUAUCUGCUCACAGUUUUCGGUGAAUGAGGUUAUGACAUGGGUUUCAAAUCCCAAAGUCUGAAAGAGUUAUGGCCCUUAACUUAGAAAGGAAAACUAGCAGCACCGACGUUUAUGAAAAAAUGGCUGCUGCAGACUGCUUGAGGACGAAGAUUUGGUCUGCAUUACAGCGUCUAAUAUUUUCUGGCAGGUUUUUGGAAUCAGGUUAUUACAAGUCUAGCUAGUUGAUUCACAAUUAGAGCCUUCCUAUGAUUUUUUUGGAGUCAGGUUAAACAUUCACUUUUCACGCAUUUGAAAAACUUAGUUUGUGACAACCACUUUGUAAGAAGAACAUUUUUUUGCAUUCUUUGAGAAUGAGACAACCCUAAGAGGACAUAAUAAACUCUACCAACUCAUUCAAGGAAUUGCUUGAAGGACCAUCACUAUUAAUGCUAGCUUCAGCCAUAUGUUUUAAAUCCCUUGACCUCUUUCUCAUCUCCUUCCCUUCUUCUUCAACCAUUAGUCUCAGAACAAUUUUCUCUAUUUCACCUCGCUCCAACUCAUUUUCAUACUGCCAACCUACUUUCCAUACUUGGCUAACAUACCUUGCAGUCACAUUUUGAUCCCCAAAACAUGGUCUGCAUAUCAUUGGAACCCCUUCACAUAUACUUUCAAGUGUGGAAUUCCAUCCGCAAUGGGUCCAGAACCCUCCUACUACAUCAUGUGCCAGCACUUGUUUCUGGGGUGCCCAUCUCACAAUGCAGCCUCUUUCUCUAACUGAAAAUUUGAAAUUCUUUGUGAAUGGCUCCAUCCAUUCGGAGGCAAUUUUCUGGCUGGAUCGUAUUACCCACAAGAAAGGCUGCUUGCUAUUGGCCAGUCCCCAAGCCAUCUCUUCUACCUCCUUAGCAUCCAUGGAUGCUAUGCUUCCCAAGCUUAUGUACAUGACAGAAUUUUGAGCUCGCUUGUCGAGCCAUGCUAUGCAACUGGUGUCCUCUUCUAAUAAGCUACUGGUGGAUUCUGGAGCAAGCUUAUGCAUAGGGUCAAUUGGGAAGAUUGUGUGCUGUUUUUGGUGCUGAAUAAUUGCUAAUGACGAUUGUUCAAGACAAUCCAUCGUGUUAAAUACUGUUGCUGAGCUUCUUUCUGUAUUGGACAAGUUAGGCAUCAGUUGCGAGGUUUGUUCUUCUGAUCCAGGUUUCAUAAAGGGUAGAUCUUUGAACCUCAGAGGAUAGUGUUCAGGCACUAGAUCAUGCAAUACAGAGUCUGUAGUUCAAAGUCAGAUUUCCAGUAUCAGUGGUUUGUCUAUUGUAAUUAAAUACAGACGAGAUUUCUAAAAGUUAGGGAACCAGCAACCCAUUAACGUAAUUUGCUGGAAAAGAGAGAUGGCCAUAUCUCUAAGCGUACAUGUUUUGCUAUCGAGAGAGGCACGAACAUGUUAUAAUACCUGGUAAAGGAAGGCGGCCUUGUAAAUAUAUCUUGGGAAUGACUGCACGAGCAAGGUAACUUGUGGCACUGCAAGUUCAAAACAAGAUGCUUGGAGGCUUGAAAUGACUGGCAACUAUUGGAGUGAAAUACAUGGCCUCGUCAUAGAUGAUGCAGGCGAUUUGAGGAUGAGAACAGUCCUGGUGAUUUAUCGUCUGGGCCAAGAGUUUUUUGAAGGGUUCUUGACAUUUGGCAUUAAGAAGCAGAACAAGAUCUACCAUAUUUCCUGGAGAAAUCUGUUGCUCAAGAAAGAUAUCUGGUUUGGAGAUGAAGUUGAAGGCAGGGUGGACUGAUGGGUUGGGAGAGUUGAAUCGAGCAUGAAUUAUGGUGAUGGAGAAUCCUUUUGAGUGAAGAACUGAACCUAGCUGAAGCAUUGGGUUUAUGUGACCCUGAAAUGGACAUGGCACAGGCAACAAUUUGCAACCUUUCUUUUCUUCUUUCUCCAUCUCUCUUUAGCCCUCUCUCUGUAUAUGAUUUCAAUUUAGGCUGCAGCAAGUUCAAUGAGGUAUUUUGUUUUAAUGAAGUUUAUACUAUACAUAUAUAUGUGUGUGUGGAAUUGUGGAGACAGAAUCCACAAAAAGAUCUGGUGUAAUUUGAGCAAAAAAAAGAACAUUCCACUAAGAAAUCUGGUGUGAUUUAAGAAAAAAAUCUGUAGUUUUAGUGUAUAUAUAUUGCAGUUAUAGGAUUAUAAUUUUCUUAAAAAGUUAUAUGAUUUGCAACACUUACUUUUUAAGGUCUGACAUUAUAUGGAUGCAAUUUAGUACUAAAGUUACAUUUUAGCAUAGUUUGGUUAACUUUUAUUCUACAUCCCUUCUUUCAUUCAUCUCAUCUCUUUGAAACUUGUACAAUGAAACGCCUUUUUCUUUCUUUUUUUUCUUUUCCCUUGUUUAGUUCAAGGUCAUCAAAAAGUGGAAAAGAGCUAACCUUCUUCAUAAUUUUUUUUUUCUGGAGCUGUAUAUCACUCCUUUAUAAGAGGAUUGUGUAGACAAAAGGAUUUGUUCGUAGUGAUUUAUCUUUAAACUUUGUUGGAUAAUAGUUAUAAAGUUAUGUUAGAAAUUUCCAAAAAAAAAAAGGAAGCUAAUCUGGCUGCCUUGACAUUUUGGACACGUUCAUGAAUUUCCUCUCUCUUCUCUGUCACCUUCUGGGGAAAGUCCUGCGGAUGUUAACAGGCAUGCGGGCUGGAAGGAGACACCGGAGGCGGACAUCUCCCUGUGAUGAAGAAUGAGGAAGUGAAAGUGGAAGUGGGAAGAUGGCAGGGUGAGACACAUGACAUUGCACUCGGUGGAGUGCAGCAGUACUAAAUUCUCGACGAGGUUCGGGUGGGUUGCCGGAGAUGAAGGCUUAAUGGAGAAAGGGGGUGCUCACUACUUCUGUCCCUAAAGCUGAGGUGACGAAGCCUGACGUCAAGGCCGUUGAGAUUUCUGGCUGACCAUUUUGUAGCAAGUAUUAAAUAUUCACCUAUAUCAGAAUUGCUUAUUUUAAAAUUUUAAAUAAUAAUUAUUUGUUCUGCCAAAAUUAAUUAUAAUUUAUAUGUUUGAUGUAUGAUAAAAUUAAUUUUUUCUUUAUUUUUAACUGAACAAUGAUGAAAAUGAGCGGGCUUAUUGGUUUAGAUUCGGUAAAUUUUAAUUAAUUAAAGUUAAAUUCUAUUUAUAUUUUAAAGAAUUGAAAUUGAUAAUUAUUAUACAUAUUAUCACAUUAGUUUUAUUUUUAUAUUUUAAAAUUUGAUAAAUAAUAUUUAAAAUUAUCCCUAUCAUAUAUAAUUUUAAUUAUAUUAGAUUAUAUAUUUUAAAAUUUAUUAAUUUAUUUUAAUACAUUUAACGUUGAAAACUCAAAGAGUCAAACGCCUUCUGGGUCUCCUAGGGGGCUCGUCUUUGAAAAGCCCAUUAUAAAACCCAACUACUUAAAUGGGCCUUGAAGCCCAUAAAAAGAAAUAUCUGGAACAUUCGCCUUCCUCCUCUUUUGUUUGACUUGCUUUUCGCGCGAAACUAACAGAAGAAACAGAAGCUGGAAGAAGAAUCUGGACAUGGAAAUUCUCCUCCCGCAACUCUAUUCUCCUUUUUAUAAGUCCACCGAUCAGCCCUCCUCUUCGCCAUCGAACCGCAAAACAUAGCAAGCUAAUAUCUCUCUACACCUUUUAUUUCAAAGUUUUCUCAAGCUCAAACCUAUCUUUUUAACAAUGUCGCUGAUUCCAAGCUUCUUCGGCCACCGAAGCAGCGUCUUCGAUCCCUUCUCCCUCGACGUUUGGGAGCCGUUUUGGAAUUCCCCUCUCCGUUCAUCGUCAAUUUCUCGGGAGAGUUCCGCGAUCAUUAACACUCGUGUGGACUGGAAGGAGACCCCGGAGGCGCACGUGUUCGCGGCGGAUCUCCCGGGGAUGAAGAAGGAGGAGGUGAAAGUGGAGGUGGAAGAUAACAGGGUGCUGAAGAUCAGCGGGGAGAGACACGUGGAGGAGGAGGAGAAGAACGAGACGUGGCACCGUGUGGAACGUAGGAGCGGGAAGUUCUCGAGGAGGUUCAGGUUGCCGGAGAACGUGAAGAUGGAAGAGGUGAAGGCUUCAAUGGAAAAUGGGGUGCUCACUGUUACUGUACCUAAAGCUGAAGUGAAGAAGCCUGACGUUAAGGCUAUCGAGAUUUCUGGUUGAAAGUUUCGAACCCUGGGUUGUCGUCUUGGUCACGUCUUCUGCAACAGGUGUUUGUUGAUUCUUUUGUACGCUAAAUGUUUGACAAAAUGCCACCUUUGUGUUAUUGUUUGUAAGAUGUUUGAUAAAAUGCUAGACUGUUGGAGUGUCUCAUGUGGGUUUUUGGAUUUUGUAGUGAUAAUAUAGAAUUACUGAAUUGAUGUUCUAAUAAUAAGAAAAUAAUACAUAUUAUAAAAUUAUUUUCUGGUUCGUAAUUUUUUUCUUCUUGGAGAGUUAAUUAUCAUUUCACAAUUGUUCCUUUUAAGAGAAGUGAUUGUUUUCCAUUCGUUUUGUUACGGUAGAUUCGGACUAAAGCCUGUGGCGUGUAGAUCUGCUGUCAUGUGUGUGGACUCAUCAAUGAUAUGUUUGUUUUGGUUUGCUCUGGUAUUCCCUUUAACAAAAGCAUCAAGUACUUUGACAAGCUAGCUCUGCCUGAAAUAUCUUAGAUGGCUUAGGAGAGUAUAGUAUCAUACAAAUUGAAUUUGUAGAUGACAUUGAAAAGCUUAAAACAUGCUGAUUGAAUUAUAUAGAUGACUCCGAAGAAUUCAACCUGAGGCUGAUAACUUGUUGUCAUGAUCUUGUCCAAAUCUUCUUGAAAUGGACUUCUUUCAUGUUGAUGCUGAGACUCAAUUUAAAGGCUAUAAUGGAAUCCUGAUUAAAGACAUUAGAGUUAGAUUAGUCAUUGAGAAUAGGAAGAGAUGAAAUAUGUUCAGGAUAACUGGUGGGUCAAGGAAAUUGAAACGAAUGUGAGCAGAAGCAAUGGAUUGGAUUGUCUGAACUUAUUUCCUAUUUCUUUAACACAUGAUAAUUGCUUGUUCUGGAUUUAAUCUCCUUGGACACCUUAGAUUCAAUCAUAUGCCUUUCCGCACUACCAAGGUUUUUGGCUUCUUGGUAUUUUCUUGCUCACCAAUUUAGCUGAAUGAGGUUUUGACAUGGGUUUCAAGUCCCUGAGUUCUGAAAGAGUAUUGGCCCUUAACUUAACAAGAAAAACUAACAGUACCGUUGUACGUGAAAAAAUGGCUUACUGCAGACGGCUUGAGGAAGAAGAUUUCAUCUCCAUUACAGCAUCAAAUGUUUUCUUUCAGGUUUUUUGGAGUCAGGUUAUUACUAGUUUAGCUAGUUGAUUUACAAUUAGAGCCUUCCUUUAAUUUCUUUUCAAUAAUGAAAAGUCAGUUGUUACAAAGUAUACAGAACAAUCCCCACUGGGGCUUAAACAUUCACCUUUCAAGCAUUUAAAAAACUUAGUUUAUAACAACCAGUUUGUAAAAACAACAUUCUUUUGCAUCCUUUGGGAAUAGCAAAACCAAGAGAAACCUAGGAGGACAUAAUAAACUCUACCAACUCAUUCAAGGAAAUAUGCGAAGGACCAUCACUAUUAAAGCUAGCUUCAAGCUUAUGCUUUAAGUCCCUUGCCCUCAUCCUCAUUUCUUUCCCUUCUUCUUCAACCAUUAGUCUCAGAACAAUUUUCUCUAUUUCACCUUGCUCCAUGUUGAUCGAAAGCGAAUAAGCUUCAAAGGAGGCUCUGUGAAUGAGAAAACUUAGAGAGAGAAAGUUGAGGAGAGAGAGGGCAGCAAAACAGAGCAAGUUUAUGCAACUGCCUCUGUUUUGCUGUUUUGAAGAGGCGUGCCCUUUCUUUGGAGAGAAGAAGUAAUCUCUUCUUUUUAUUUCAGCAUAUAUAUAUAUAUAUAUAUAUAGAAAUAAAAAUUUAAACAGAUUACAUCAACCGAUCAAAUCAGAUCGACCGAAAAUCAUGCAUACACAUCGCAUGGAAUUUUACGUAUCCUUCCGUGAAACAACUUCACAGUGGAUUUCUUUUUUUUGAAUUUAAACUCAACAGAAAAAAUCAUUAAAUUUAACACUCCCCCUUAAUGACUUUUUUCACCAAUUCCCACCUUUUCCCGCAAUUCCUCAAAUUUAGCUUUAGACAAGGCCUUGGUUAGAAUGUCUGCAAGCUGAUCAUCAGUGGAACAAUGUAUCAGCUUUAUUUCUUGAUUCCUCUCAGCCUCACGUAUAGCAUGAUACUUAACGUUGAUGUGUUUAGUUCUCCUGUGCAUUACAGGAUUUUUCGCAAUGGCAAUUGCAGACUUGUUGUCUACAUACAACACUGUAGGUGUUUGUUUGUCCAGUUUUACAUCAUUGAACAUCUUUCUCAACCAAAUUGCUUAGUUAGUUGCUGUAGCUGCGGCUACAUACUCAGCCUCAGCUGUGAACUGAGCCACAGUAUCCUGUUUCUUAGAUACCCAUGAAAAAGCACCGGAGCCUAGUUUGAACAAGUAACCAGUUGUGCUACGUGCAUCUUCUACGCUUCCUGCCCAAUAAUUGUCACUGUAGCCGACUAAUCCACCCUUAGCUCUUGCUUUGAAUUGAACACUAAAAUUCCAGGUUCCUUUCAAGUACCUCAGCACAUGUUUGGCAGCUUGUAAGUGUGAUUCCCUCGGUGAAGUCAUGUACCUUGAAAGCAAACUUACUGCAAACAAAAUAUCUGGUCUGGUAGCUGUGAGAUACAGAAGGCUCCCAAUCAGACUUCUGUAAUUCCCCUCUUCAACUUUGUUACCUUUCUCGUCCUUUGACAAUUUCAAGUUGGACACCAGUGAUGUAGAUAUUGAUUUACAGUGAUUCAUGUUGAAUUUAUUUAGAAUUUCUUUGGCAUACUUGCCUUGUGAAAGAAAAAUAUCCAGGUUGCUUUGAUGAAUCUCCAUUCCCAGGAAGUAGGUAGCCUCCCCAAGAUCAGACAUCUCAAAUUCUUUUUCAAAUUUCAGCUUGAACUCUAUCAUUUUCCUUUUGUUGCUGCCUGUCACCAGUAUAUCAUCAACAUAUUCAGCACUUUGACGUGCUCAUUCUGCUUGAAGUAUGCAGAUGGCUAAGGAGAGUACAAUAUCAUUCAAAUCGUAUUUCAUAGAUGACCCAAGAAAUUAUAAUCAUGCUGAUUGAAUUAAUGUGAUGAUACCAAGGAAUUCGGCAUCAGGUUGAUUCUGUGUUGCCAUCAUCUAAGACAACUCUUCUUGGUAUGUACUUCUUUCUUGCCAUUGUGAAGGCUAUAAAUCCUGAUUAAAGGCAUGAAAUAGAUUAGUCAUUUAGUAUAGACCGAGAUGAGGUAAUAUCAGGCACAACUGCUUGUCCUUAUUGAAACAAAUAUGAGCAGAUGGAACGGUUGUGGCUGUCUGAGUUCUAAAUUCCUUUACAAAUGAUAAUUGCUUGUUCUGGACUCAAUCUUCUUGGAUUCAAUCUCCUUGUACACCUUUGGAUUCAAUCAUAUAAUUUACCCCAUAAUACUUAGGUUUUUUGGCUUGUUGGUAUUUCUUGCUUGCCACUUUGUGCGAUUAAGGUUAUGGCAUGGGGCUUCAAAUCAUGAAAUCUGAAAGAGUGUUGGUCCUCAACUAAAAAAAUAGUAUUGCUGUAUAUGGAAAAAUGGCUUACUGCAGCUGCAGACUGCUUUAGGACAGAGAUUUAAUUUCCAUUGCAGUGUCUUUGAUGUUUUCUUUCAGGUUUUUGGUAGUCAUGUUAUUAUUAGUCUAGUUUUUAUUUUUUUUAAGGUUUUUUGACUUGUGGUACUUCUUGCUUACCACUUUGUGUGAUUAAGGUUAAGGCAUGGGGCUUCAAAUCAUGAAAUCUGAAAGAGUGUUGGUCUUUAACUAAAAAAAUAGUAUUGCUGUAUAUGGAAUAAUGGCUUACUGCAGUUGCAGACUGCUUUUGGACAGAGAUUUAAUUUCCAUUGCAGUGUCCUUGAUGUUUUCUUUCAGGUUUUCGGUAGUCACUUUAUUAUUAGUUUAGUUAUUUGAUUCAUAGUUAGGGUAUUACUUUGAUCUUUUUCAAUAAUGGAAAUUCAUCUAUUAUGAAGUACACAAAACUAUUGCACUGAGGCCUAAACGUUCGCCAUUCAAGCAAAAAAUCAAUAAUGGAAAUUCAGCUAUUAUGAAGUACACAAAACUAUUGCACUGAGGCCUAAACGUUCGCCAUUCAAGCAUUUAGAAAACCUAGUCUGUGACAACCAAAUGCUUUGCAUUCCUUGAGAAGGAUUUUUGCUGUGACCGAGAGAAAUCUAAGAGGACAUAAUAAACUCUACCAACUCAUUCAAGGAAUUGUGUGAAGGACCAUCAUUAUUAAUGCUAGCUUCAACCAUAUGUUUUAAAUCCCUUGCCCUCUUUCUCAUCUCCUUCCCUUCUUCUUCAACCAUCAGUCUCAGAACAAUUUUCUCUAUAUCACCUUGCUCCAACUCAUUCUCAUACUGCCAUCCUACUCUCCAUAUUUGGCUAACAUACCUUGCAGUCACAUUUUGAUCACCAAAACAUGGUCUGCAUAUCAUUGGAACCCCUUCACAUAGACUCUCCAGUGUUGAAUUCCACCCGCAAUGGGUCCAAAACCCUCCUACUGCUUCAUGUGCCAACACUUGUUUCUGGGGUGCCCAUCUCACAAUGCACCCUCUUUCUCCAACUAAAAUUUUGAAAUCCUUUGUGAAUGAUUCCAUCCAUUCUGAGGCAAUUUUCUGGCUGGAUCGUAUCACCCACAAGAAAGGCUGCUUGCUAGUGGCCAGUCCCCAGGCCAUCUCUUCUACCUCCUUGGCAUUCAUGGAUGCUAUGGUCCCCAAGCUUAUGUAUAUGACAGAAUCUUGAGCUUGCUUGUCAAGCCAUGCUAUGCAACUGGUGUCUUCUUCUAAUAAGCUACUGGUGGAGUCUGGAGCAAGCUUAUGCAUAGGGCCAACUGGGAAGAUUGGAAGUUGUUUUUGGUGUCGAAUAAUUGCUAAUGCUGAUUGUUCAAGGCAAUCUAUAGUGUUAAAUAUUAUUGCUGAGCUUCUUUCUAUAUUGAACAAGUUGGUCAUCAGUCGCAAGGUCUGUUCUUCAAAUUUUGUAACUGGUAGAUCUUUGAACCUCAGGGGAUAGUGUUCAGGCACUGGAUCCUGCAAAAUAGAGUCUGUAGUCCAGAGUUAGAUUUGCAAUAUCUGUUGUAGUUGGUCAUACAAACAAGACUCUAAAGUUGGCCCAAGAUCAACAUGUUUCACAUAUUAUUAGAUGCAAAAGAAAUUGCGAAUCUAUAAGUGUACGUAUUAGACUAUCAAGAAAAGCACAAAAUGUAAUAAUACCUGGUAACGGAAGGCAACCUUGUAAAUGCAGCUUGGGAAUAACAGCACGAACAAGAAGACUGGUGGCGCUACAAGUUCGAAACAUGAUACUAGGAAUCUUAAAAUGAUUAGCAAUUGCUGGAGAGAAAUACAUGACUUCAUCAUAGAUGAUGCAGGCAAUGAAGGUGAGAAGGGCCUGGUUGAUUUAUCAUCUGUGCCAAGAAUUUUUUAAGGGUUCUUGACUUUGGCGUAAAANNNNNNNNNNNNNNNNNNNNNNNNNNNNNNNNNNNNNNNNNNNNNNNNNNNNNNNNNNNNNNNNNNACAUCAUAUAUAUAUAUAUAUAUUUGUGGAAGUAAGAGACAGAAUCCUAAGGAAAUCCGAUAUGGUUUUAAGACAAAAUCUGAUGCAAUUUAAGAAAAACAUCUAUGAUUUUAGUGGAUCUAUAUUGCAGCAGAUCAUAGUUUUCUUAAACAGUUAUAUCAUUUUUUAAGGUGUAAUAACAUUCGAUGAAUGCAAUUCAAUAUUAAUUUACACUUAUGGAUAGUUUAGUUUUUAUUUAUUCAACUCCUAUUUCUUCUUUGACCUCUAUUAUUGCUCUGUAGACUUCAUCUCAUUCAUCAACCUGAUCUCUUUGAAACAUGUGAAAUGAGAGGUAAUUUUUUUGCCUCCUUUUUUAGUAGAAGGUCGUCUAAAGUGGAAAAAGAACCAAAUGUACUAAAAUAUUAUCUUUUAAAAUAAAAAUUAAGUAAUUUAAAAUAAUAUACUGUUUACUCUAUUUCAAUAGUUAAAGAGGAUUUCAUUUUCAAUCAGUUGCUCCAAGCAUUUUUCUACUUUCAGCUUCUUAGGCCAUAGCCAACGGCUCGUGGGUCUUGGCAUGAGGAGAUGAACCCAUGAAUUUCGACAGAGCUGAAAUUUAAGUUUCGAUGGAAACUAUACUUUAGCCCCAUAAAGGAAAUCACCAUUAACAACCUCGAACAUUCUUCUUUCUUCUCCUCAGUUAACUGAUGCAGGACCAACAUAAGCGGUUGGAGCUGAAAUUGUAAGAAGCGCCUAGAAAUGGAGAUUCUCUUUUCAAAAUUCAAGUUGCCAGAGAACAUGAAGAUGGACCAGGUGAAGGCUUCAAUGGAGAGCAGGGUGCUAACUGUGACGGUACCUAAAGCGGAGGUGAAGAAACCUGAUUUUAAGGCCAUUGAGAUUUCUGGAUGAGUGUUUCAAUUUCACGAAAGACUUUGUUGACAUCUCUCAACGUAGGACCAUUAAUGUGUAUGGAAAGUGAGUGAACUCUGUGUUUUGUAUGUGAAGCAUUUGAUGAAAUGUCACUGCACAUGAUGUGCGUUCGUGAUUUGGUAAUGUUAACGUAAACGUGAUAUUCUAAUAAUAAAAAACUACCUUGUAUUGCAAACUUCGUCUUGGUCAUUCUGAAUGACACUUUGUGCCAUUAUCUGUAAGAUGUUUGAUGAAAUAUUGGACUAUGUAACUUUGUGCCAUUAUCUGUAAAAUGAUUGAUGAAAUAUUGGACUAUGUAAUGUCUGGAUUUUAUGUAGAGUCGAUUCUGUAAUGGUUUUCUUUAUGAUCCAUCAAACGCUUAUUUCUUAGGCUUGAAAAGUUAACACAUUCUCUUCGAUUGUCGUUUCUAACAGAGGUUACUGCUUUACCCUUCAUUUUUUUAAGGUAAAGCCAGAGGAGGUUUUGAUGUGCAUUCAUUUCUAUGGAAACCAGGUACUAAUCAUUUUCCUCUGGUUUGCUCUGCUUUUCUGUUUAACUGAACAUUCAGCACUUUAACGUGCUCCUUCUGCUUGAAGUAUGCAGAUGUGUAAUGAGAGGAUAAUAUCAUACAAAUUGAUGUCAUAGAUGACUCAAAAAAUCAUAAUCGCUGACUGAAUUAAUGUGAUGAUACCAAAGAAUUUAAUCAUCAAGCUGAUUCUGUGUUGCCAUCAUCUAAGACAACUCUUCUUGGUAUAGACUUCAUUCUUGCCAUCAUAAAGGCUAUAAAAUCCUGAUUAAAGGCAUGGAUUAGAUUAGUCAUUUACUAUAGACAGAGAUGAGGUAAGUUUAGAAUAACUGCUCGUCUUUAUUGAAAUGAAUAUGAGCAGAAGGAACAGUUGUGGCUGUCCGAGUUCUAAUUUCUAUUUCUUUGCAAUGAUAAUUGCUUGUUCUGGAUUUAAUGUCCUUGUACACCUUUGGAUUCAAUCAUAUAAUGUACCCCAUUACACUAAGGCUUUUGGGCUUGUUGGUACUUCUUGCUCACCACUUUGGGGAUUGAGGUCAUGGCGUGGGUUUCAAAUCAUGAAAUCUGAAAGAGAGUUGUCUCUUGAUUAAAAAAAAUGGUAUUGUUGUAUACUAAAAAUUGAUUUACUGCAGACUGCUUUAAGAAAGAGAUUUUAUCUUCAUUAUAGCAUCUUUAAUCUUUUCUUUCAGGUUUUUGGGAGUUGGGUUAUUAUUAGUCUAGUUAUUUGUAUUAUAGGUAAAGUAUCACUAUGAUUUCUUUUUUCUGUUUGAAAAAUGGAAACUCAGCUAUUAUGAAAUACACGAAACUAUUGCACUGAGGCUUAAAAGCCCACUUCCAAGCAUUUAAAAAACUUAGUUGUGACAACCCAAACGUUUGCAUUCCUUGAGAAGGGAAUUUUGCUGUGACUAAGAGAAACUAAGAGGACAUAAUAAACUCUACCAACUCAUUCAAGGAAUUGCAUGAAGGACCACCAUCGUCAAUGCUAGCUUCAACCACAUGUUUUAAACCCCUUGCUCUCUUUCUCAUCUCUUUCCCUUCUUCUUCAACCAUUAGUCUCAGAACAAUUUUCUCUAUUUCACCUCGCUCCAACUCAUUCUCGUACUGCCAACCUACUCUCCAUACUUGGCUAACAUACCUUGCAGUCACAUUUUGAUCCCCAAAACAUGGUCUGCAUAUCAUUGGAACCCCUUCACAUAUACUUUCCAGUGUUGAAUUCCAUCCGCAAUGGGUCCAAAACCCUCCUACUGCAUCAUGUGCCAACACUUGUCUCUGGGGUGCCAAUCUCAUAAUGCAGCCUCUUUCUCCAACUGAAUUUUUGAAAUCCUUAGUGAAUGACUCUAUCCAUUCUGGGGAUAUUUUCUGGCUGGAUCGUAUCACCCACACGAAAGGCUGCUUACUAUUGGCCUGUCCCCAGGCCAUCUCUUCUAACUCCUUAGCAUCCAUGGAUGCUAUGCUCCCCAAGCUUAUGUAUGUGACAGAAUUUCGAGCUUGCUUGUCGAGCCAUGCUAUGCAGCUGGUGUCCUCUUCUAGUAUGCUGCUGGUGGAGUUUGGAGCAAGUUUAUGCAUAGGGCCAACUGGGAAGAUUGGAAGCUGUUUUUGGUGCUGAAUAAUCGCUAGUGAUGACUGUUCAAGACAAUCUACAGUGUUAAAUAUUAUUGCUGAGCUUUUUUCUGUAUUGAACAAGUUGGCCAUCAGUCGCAAGUUCUGUUCUUCUGACCCAAAUUUUGUAAUGGGUAGAUCUUUGAACCUCAAAGGAUAGUGUUCAGGCACUGGAUCCUGCAAAAUAGAGUCUGUAGUCCAGAGUUAGGUUUCCAAUUACAAAUUCCAAUAUCUGUUGUAAUUGGUCAUACAAACAAGAGUCUCUAAGUUGGCCCCGAUCAACAUGUUUCACAUAUUAUUAGAAGCAAAAGAAAUAUCUAAUCUCUAAGGGUACAUGUUCUACUAUCAAGAAAGGCACAAAAUAUUAAAAUACCUGGUAAAGGAAGGCAACCUUGUAAAUGCAGGUUGGGAAUGAGAGCACGAACAAGAAAAGUGGUGGCACUACAAGUUCGAAACAUGAUGCUAGGAAGCUUGAAAUGAUUAGCGACCGCAGGACAGAAAUACAUGACUUCGUCAUAUAUGAUGCAGGAAAAUUGAGGAUGAGAAGGGUCCUGGUGACUUAUCAUCUGGGCCAAGAAUUUCUGAAGGGUUCUUGACAUUUGGCAUUAAAAAGCAGAGCAAGACCUAUCAUAUUUUUCUGGAGAAGUCUGUUGCUCAAGAAAGGUAUCUGGUAUGGAGAUGAAGUCAAAGGCGGGGUGGGUUAAUGGGUUAGGAGGGUUGAAUUGAGAGUGUGCAACGGUGAUGGAGAAGCCUUUUGAGUGAAGAACAGAACCUAGCUGAAGCAUUUUAUUUAUGUGACCUUGAAAUGGGCAUGGCACAAGCAACAGCCGACCACCUUUCUGUCCUUGUUUCUCCAUCUCUCUCUCUUUUUAUAUAUGUGAUUUCAAUUUAGGUUGCUGCUACUGCAUUGAGUUAUCUUGUUUCAUGUUUAUGUCAUAUAUAUAUGUGUGUGUGGAAGUUAGAGAUAGAAUCCAUAAGAAAAUCCGAUACGGUUUUAAGACAAAAUCUGAUGGGAUUUAAGGAGAAAAUCUACAAUUUUAGUGGAUAUGUAUUGCAGCCUUAUUAGAUCAUGAUUUUCCUAAACAGUUACAUUAUUCGCAGCACAUAGCUUUUAAGGUGUAAUAACAUUAGAUAGAUGCAAUUUAAUAUUAAUUUACGUUUGUGGCUAGUUAACAUUUAUUCUACUGCCAUUUCUUCUUUGACCUCUAUUGUUGCUCUGUAGACUUUAUCUCAUUUGUCAACCUGAUAUCUUUGAAACCAACGCAACAGUGUCUUUGAUCCCUUUUCCCUCGACAUAUGGGAUCCAUUCAGGGACUUCCCUUUCCUUCUUCAUCUCUUUCUUGCGAAAAUUCCGCAUUCCUGAGCACACAUGUGGACUGGAAGAAGAUGCUGGAGGUGCACGUAUCCAGAGCUGAUCUCCCCAGAAUGAAGAAAGAGGAAAUGAAAGUAAGAUCAGCAGCAAGAGACAUGUGGAGAAGGAGGACAAGAGCGACACUCGGCACUGCAUUGAGUGCAGCAGCAGCAAGUUCUCAAGGAGGUUCAGGUUGCCAGAGGUGAAGAGACCUGAUGUUAUGGCCAUUGGGAUUUCUGGCCGAGUGUUUCAAUUUAAUGAAAGGCUUUGUUGAUAUCUCACGAUAUGUGAGGGUUAAUGUGUAUGGAAAGUGAGUAGACUUUGUGUUUUGUAUGUGAAGUGUUUGAUGAAAUGUCAGUGCGUGUGAUGUUGUAAUGCUAACGUAAACAUAAUAUUCUAAUGAUACAAUACCUUAUAUUGUAGACUUUGUUUUGGUCAUUUUGAAUGACACUUUGUGCUAUUGUCUGUAAACUUUUCAAUGAAGUUUGGACUAGGUAAUGUCUGGAUUUUAUGUAGAGUUGAUGCUCCAAUGGUAUUUUUUAUGAUCCAUCAAAUGCUUAUUUCUUAGGGUUGAAAGUUAAUGCGUCCUCUUCCAUUGUCGUUUCCUAGAGAGGUAAUUGCUCUGCUCUUAUUUUUUUUAAGGUAGAGCCGGAGUAGAGCCUGUGGAGGUUUGAUGUGUGGUCAUUUCUAUGGAAAUCAGGUACUAUUCAUUUUCCUGUGGUUUGCUCUGCUUUUCUGUUUAACCAAACAUUCAGCACUUUGACGUGCUCCUUUUGCUUGAAGUAUGCAGAUGGCUAAGGAGAGUGUAAUAUCGCACAAAUUGAAUUUCAGAGAUGAUCAAGAAAUCAUAAUCAUGCGAUUGAAUUAACGUGAUGAGACCAAAGAAUUCAGCAUCAGGCUGAUUCUGUGUUGCCGUCAUCUAAGACAACUUUUUUGGUAUGGACUUCUUUCUUGCCAUCAUGAAGGUUAUAAAAUCCUGAUUAAAGGCACGAAUUAGAUUAGUCAUUUAGUAUAGACAGAGAUGAGGUAAGUUCAGGCGCAACUGCUUGUAUUUAUUGAAAUGAAUAUGAGCAAAAGGAAUGGGGUGUCCGAGUUCUAAUUUCUAUUUCUUUACACAUGAUAAUUAUUUGUUCUGGAUUCAAUCUCCUUGUACACCUUUGGAUUCAAUUAUAUAAUUUACCCGCAUCCUAAGACUUUUUGGCUGCUUUGUACUCCUUGCUCGCAACUUUGGGCGAUUGUGGUUAUGGCAUCAGCUUCAAAUCAUGUAAUCUGAAAGAGUAUUGGUCCUUGACUAAAAAGAAUAAUAAUGUUGUAUACGAAAAUUUGGCUUACUGCAGACUGCUUUAGGAAAGAGAUUUAAUCUUCAUUGGAGUGUCUUUCCUGUUUCCUUUCAGGUUUUGUCAGUCAAAUUAUUAUUAGUUUAGGUAUUUGAUUUAUAGUAAGAGUAUUACUAUGACGUUUUUUUUUUUAAUAACAGAAAUUCAGAAAUUCAGCUAUUAUGAAGUACACAGAACUAUUGCACUGAGGUUUACAUUCAAGCAUUUGAAAAACCUAGACUGUAACAAUCAAAUGUUUUGCAUUCCUUGAGAAGGAUUUUUACUGUGACCGAGAGAAACCUAAGAGGACAUAAUAAACUCUACUAACUCAAACAAGGAAUUACAUGAAGGACCAUCAUUGUUAAUGCUAGCUUCAACCAUGUGUUUCAAAGCCCUUGCCCUCUUUCUCAUCUCCUUCCCUUCUUCUUCAACCAUUAGUCUCAGAACAAUUUUCUCUAUUUCACCUCGCUCCAACUCAUUCUCGUACUGCCAACCUACUCUCCAUACUUGGCUAACAUACCUUGCAGUCACAUUUUGAUCCCCAAAACAUGGUCUGCAUAUCAUUGGAACCCCUUCACAUAUGCUUUCCAGUGUUGAAUUCCAUCCGCAAUGGGUCCAAAACCCUCCUACUGCAUCAUGUGCCAACACUUNNNNNNNNNNNNNNNNNNNNNNNNNNNNNNNNNNNNNNNNNNNNNNNNNNNNNNNNNNNNNNNNNNNNNNNNNNNNNNNNNNNNNNNNNNNNNNNNNNNNNNNNNNNNNNNNNNNNNNNNNNNNNNNNNNNNNNNNNNNNNNNNNNNNNNNNNNNNNNNNNNNNNNNNNNNNNNNNNNNNNNNNNNNNNNNNNNNNNNNNNNNNNNNNNNNNNNNNNNNNNNNNNNNNNNNNNNNNNNNNNNNNNNNNNNNNNNNNNNNNNNNNNCACACACACACACACACACAUAUAUAUAUAUGUUGAAGUGAGGAGAUAGAAUCCAUAAGAAAAUCUUAUAUGGUUUAAUACAAAAGAAAAUCUGAUAUGAUUUAAGACAAAAUCUGAUGUGAUUUAAGAAAAAAAAUCUGAUAAACAUUGGAUCAUAAUUUUCUUAAACGGUUACAUUGUUCGCAGCACUUAAAACUUUUAAGGUGUAAUAACAUUGGAUGGAUGCAGUUUAGUUAAACAUUUAUACUUCUUUGACUUGUAUUAUUGCUCUCGAAUAUAUUUCGUAGAUAAUCUAUGUUCUUUUAAUUUUAUUAUUUGCUAUUUAAUUACAUAAUUAAAAUUUUAAUCUCUUUUUUUUUAGGUAAGAGUUGAAAAACAAUCAAUUGAUGAACUGAAAACCACGUAGCCGUUGGCUCAUGGGUCUUGGCACGAGGAGAUGAACCCAUUCAGAUUCAGAGUUGUAAUUAAAGUUUUGAGAGAAACUCUACUUUCGCCCAUAAAGGGGAUCGCCAUGAACGACCUCGGACAUUCUUCAUUCUUCUCCUGAGUUAACUGAUCCGGGACCAAUAUAAACAGUUGAAGCCGAAAUUGAAAGAAACGUCUAGAAAUGGACAUUCUUCAUCCAUCUCUCUCCUCUUCAUGUUCCUAUAUGUAUACUCGAAUCGGCUUUCUUUCUCACCAUCGAAAAGCAUUUCUUUCGAAACUACCAGCAAGCUUAAAACGCAGUUUCCUUCUCGUUUCAAGUUUUUGUAAAUUAGUUGUCCAAACAUGUCGUUGAUUCCAAGUUUCUUCGGGAACCGUAGCAGCGUCUUCGAUCCUUUCUCCCUCGACGUCUGGGACCCAUUUAAGGAUUUCCCUCCCCCUUCUUCGUCACUUUCGCGGGAAAGUUCUGCGAUCGUCAGCACCCGUGUGGACUGGAAGGAGACACCCGAAGCGCACGUUUUCAAGGCGGAUCUCCCUGGGAUGAAGAAGGAGGAGGUAAAAGUGGAGGUGGAAGAUGGCAGGGUGCUGAAGAUGUGCGGGGAGAGACACGUGGAAAAGGAGGAGAAGAACGAGACACGGCACCGCGUCGAACGCAGCAGCGGGAAGUUCUCGAGGAAGUUCAGGUUGCCGGAGAACGUGAAGAUGGAGGAGGUGAAGGCUUCCAUGGAGAAUGGUGUCCUAACUGUUACAGUGCCUAAAGCUGAGGUGAAGAAGCCUGAUGUUAAAGCCAUUGAAAUUUCUGGCUGAGCGUUUACUAGCAGGUGCUUUCAUUGAUGUUUCUAAAAGCAACUAUGAAGAUUUGGAAGCAGCGUGUAUUUAUUUGUAUGCCAAGUGUUUGACAAAAUGUCUCUGUGUUUGGUUUUAUAUUUUCUAAUGCUUAUGUAAAUUUGGUGUCCAAUGAAUAAAACAGUCAUCUUUCUUCUGUGAUCGAACUUGAUUCUUUCUACUAUGCUUUCAAGAUUUAGAAUUGUAGGAAGCAUUUAGGGAUGGAACUGCUUGCACCAGUUUAACAAAGGGAACAAAAUUUUAAUAUUGUCUCGAGAAAAUUUUAGCAUGCAUUCCUUGAAAGCCCCUCGAAGUUUUCAGGCACUCCAUCCUCCAUAAGUGUCAAGUAAAAGUGCAUUGAGCAGCUGAGAUAUCGCAACAGACUGAUAAAUUUAAACAUUAUUUUGACAUGACCCAAUUGAUUCGAUUAGAUAUUUAUCAUUAAUUUUUAUUGUUAUAAUUGUUUGACAACGUGAAAAAUAUUAUUGUUCAUGUAAAUUAUUAUUUCACUAUGGACGAAAAACUUUGAUAAAAUUUUAAAAUUUAUUAGCAUGCAUUCCUUGAAAGUCCUAGAAGUUUUCAGGCUCUCCAUCCUCCAGAAGUGUCAAGUGAAAGUGCAUUGAGCAGGUGAGACAUUGUAACAGAUUGAUAAAUAUAAACAAUAUUUUGAUUGAUUGGAUUAGACAUUUGUCAUCUAUUUUUAUUGUCAUAACUCUUUGACAACGCUAAAAAAAUUGUUGUUCAUGCAAAUUAUAUUCACUUGGAACGAAAACUCUGAUUAAAUUUAAAGUUAUUAGAUUUCGAAGAGUUCAAAGAUUAAUAGCAAAUAACAGUGCACAGACAUACCAACAACACACUCUUUAACAUAACACACGUGUAUAUUUACCCAUUUACACACGCGCACCGCAAGUGCCACCCAUCAUUUGAUGGGCUCGGAUAAUUGGGCUUUGCUAUUCUAAUCGUUUUAACAAUCUCCCUCAAAAUGAAGAACAUAUAUUUUCUACUCCCUAUCUCGACCAUAUAUGCUGGCUAAUAAGGGUUCAUAGUGCUUUAUUGAGUGUGUUUGUAAAUUAUUGCUUACUCCCUACAUAUUCGGGAAUAAUGCUUUCAUCUUGAAUCUUAUCUUGCAUAUGUUUAGUUUUUUCAUAAAAUACUGAAUUAAAUAUUACGUGUAUCACAAUCUUAUCGUUGUUAUUUUUAAAAUUAAAUUCAAAUAUCAAAUCAAGUAUGAUUAAGAGAAUGUGAUAGAACAUUAUUAAAUUUUAAAAAUAUUCUUUUUUUUGUCUAAUAAUUUUUACUUUGAAGAAGCAAUUCUAUUAUAAACAUAAUAAGUUAUUCUCAUAAUUUACACUCGAGAUUAAGUCUAUUUGAGAGUGAAUGAUGAUAGUUUUGAGGAUAAAUAUUUAUAUUAUAGUUAUGUAUAUUAAAAUUAAUAUAAAUAUUUAAAUUAAAAAAUUAAAGAAAAAAAUAAAUCAUAAUUAUAUUCAAAUUUCAAUAAUAUUGUUAAAAUUUUUAAAUUGAAUUGAUAGGUACGUAGUUUAAGUGAUAUUUUAUGUAAUUAAUAAGAAUUCAAGAAAAUAAUGUAUUAUUUUGUUCGUGUUUUAUUUAUUUUUUUUAAUUUUUUGAAUAGAAAAUAAUAAAAUAUAAUAUAUUUUUAAAGUACGAUAUGUCUUCACAAAUUAAAAAUAAUUAAAUGCUAUUUAUAAAAUGAGAAAUUAUUAUUAUUAUUAUGUCUAAUAUAAAUCACCUUGAUAAAAUUUCACUUAGAAGACGUGCGUAUAAUUAUUCAUAUGAUCAUAAAAAAUUAACAUAAUAACUAAUUUUUAAAUAGAAUUAAUAUAUAUUUUAAUUAUAAAUAAUCGUACUAUAAAAAUACGUUGCAUAACAAUUAUAUAUUUAAGGCGUUAGAAAGAGAUCCUUCCAAGGAAAGUCUGAAGAUUUUAGAAUCCACCAGAAGCCCAUAACGGCUCGGAAACCCAACUCUGAGGGAGACAAGGUCCAGAUGCUCCCGGAAGAUUCACGAACUCAUCAACAGAUUAUCCAGUGAGUUCUGGAUUUGUCCUCUCCUUCUUAUAAAUAUCUAACUGAUCGUUUCUGUCAGACAUCCAAGAACAAGCAAGCAACUCUCGAGGGACUUUCUCACUGCCAACAAACGCUUUGCCGGCUACUUUCUAGCCAACCAAAUACUUCUCUUUUCUUUGUUUUUAAUCAAUCUGCGCAGAACCUUUAACAAUGUCGCUCAUCCCAAGCUUCUUUGGAAACCGACGCAACAGCGUUUUUGAUCCCUUUUCCCUUGACGUAUGGGAUCCAUUCAGGGACUCUCCCUUUCCGUCCUCGUCUCUUGCCCAUGAGAAUUCAGCGUUCGUGAGCACGCGUGUGGACUGGAAGGAGACGCCGGAGGCGCACGUAUUCAGAGCUGAUCUCCCCGGGAUGAAGAAAGAGGAAGUGAAAGUAGAAAUCGAGGAGAAUAACGUGCUGCAGAUCAGUGGUGAGAGACACGUGGAGAAGGAGGACAAGAACGACACUUGGCACCGCGUUGAGCGCAGUAGCGGCAAGUUCUCGAGGAGGUUCAGGUUGCCGGAGAACGUGAAGAUGGACCGGGUGAAGGCUUCAAUGGAGAACGGGGUGCUAACUGUGACGGUGCCUAAAGCGGAGGUGAAGAAACCUGAUGUUAAGGCCAUCGAGAUUUCUGGUUGAGUGUUUCAAUUUCGCGAAAGACUUUGUUGAAAUCUCUCGAUGUACGAGCGCUAAUGUAUUUAGAAAGUGAGUAAACUUGGGUGUUUCGUAUGUGAAGUGUUGUUUGAUGAAAUGUCAGUGCGUGUGAUGUGAGUGUUCUGGUUUUGUAAUGUUCAUGUAAACUUUGUGUUUUCUAUGUGAAGUGUCUGGUGAAAUGUCAUUGCCUGUUAUCUGAGUGCUUAUUUUUCUAAUGGUAAUGUAAACAUAAUUAAAGGAA
rnacentral:lncRNA from 1 species